AAUAAAGAUAACCAUAUGCAGCUUAAGCAUAUAGUAAAGAAACAAAUCUGUUAAUUUAGAUUUUUGUCUUCAAAAUACUCAUGUUUGCAAACUAAGAAGAAUACAAUUAUAAGUUUUUACCUCAUUAUUGAGAAAAUUUACUGCACAGUUCAAAGUCCUCAUCCUCCUCUUCCAAGCAUGGCAUGCUAGAGGAUGGAGUGGAAAUAGACAAAUGGUUUCUAGGUAUGUCUAUUUGAAAUUCCAAGCUCGCUAUUAUGUCAUCUCCACAAUCUAAUAGCUUGUGUUCGCACAAAAGAGCUUAUAACAAGAUACUACACAUGUUUUGCAGGCAAAGAGCUGCUAAAUAUAUGUAAAAUUGUUAAUGGCUAAUUUAUAUACAUAUUUCACAUCUAAAGGUUUUCUAUUAUACACACAUGAUUUAAAGAUAUUUACACAUUUAUCAACGUAGAUAAACAAAAACAAAUAGAAAUGCACAUACAAGAAUAAUAUGCAAAGGUUUGCAAGUGCAUAAUUUUUGACAACAAAUUACGUAUUUCACAUCUAAAAAUUUUCUGUUAUACACUAUGAUACUUUAUAUAUAUAUAUAGACACAAACCUACAAAGUGCUUGAUUUUUGCAGAAUUGUUAAUGACCAAUUUACAUAUUUCACGCCUAAAAGUUUUCUAGUAUACAAGUACGAUAUAUAAAAUGCAUGGAUAGAAACAGACACUGUAUACAUUUAAUUACAUAAAUAUCAACACAAAAAUACAUACGAGCAAACAGAAAUAUAUAUACAAUUACGUACGGGUAGUAUUCACUUUGAAUGACAAUUUAUUUUCAUUUUCUAGAUCUUAACUAAGUACCGAUGCUUAUGAGAGGAGAAACCUAAAAUUGUGGCAAGUUAAUUUCUUAAUAUUUCACUAGUUCACAAUUUUCUCAACAUUUACGAUUAGAGAGGUCAACAUUUUUUCAAAACUUCAAUUCUACGAAAUUUUUCCAAAGAUUUGCAACUCACAUCGUUCAAAGACCAUCGAUUAUAUUUGCAAGCCUUUCCAUAUUGUAUUUGUCCUCCUCGCCACCGUUUGAGAGUAGUUCUUCUUGCAACGUUUGGGUUUGUCUUCUCUCUCGAACUGUUCCCCCUGGACUUUAAGGUUUUUAUCACUCUCGAAGGUUUACAUCUCUAUUGUGAUUUUGAAUUAUUAAUUGUAAUUAUAUAACCCUUUCAAGUAUGCUUGUUCAUAUUUGUAAAUAUUUUCACAAAUG
rnacentral:lncRNA from 1 species